rnacentral:rRNA from 1 species
UCCCGGAUGUUAGCGGCGGACGGGUGAGUAACACGUGGGUAACCUGCCUGUAAGACUGGGAUAACUCCGGGAAACCGGAGCUAAUACCGGAUAGUUCCUUGAACCGCAUGGUUCAAGGAUGAAAGACGGUUUCGGCUGUCACUUACAGAUGGACCCGCGGCGCAUUAGCUAGUUGGUGGGGUAAUGGCUCACCAAGGCGACGAUGCGUAGCCGACCUGAGAGGGUGAUCGGCCACACUGGGACUGAGACACGGCCCAGACUCCUACGGGAGGCAGCAGUAGGGAAUCUUCCGCAAUGGACGAAAGUCUGACGGAGCAACGCCGCGUGAGUGAUGAAGGUUUUCGGAUCGUAAAGCUCUGUUGUUAGGGAAGAACAAGUGCGAGAGUAACUGCUCGCACCUUGACGGUACCUAACCAGAAAGCCACGGCUAACUACGUGCCAGCAGCC